GUUGGGAUAGCUCAGUCGGUAGAGCANAGGACUGAAAAUC
rnacentral:tRNA from 1 species